ACAGCAUUUAACCCAUGUUAGAUGCUUGAAAGGAGCAAUUGCUUCACUAGUAGAUGGACCUGCGUUGUAUUAGCUAGUUGGUGAGGUAACGGCUCACCAAGGCGACGAUACAUAGCCGACCUGAGAGGGUGAUCGGCCACACUGGGACUGAGACACGGCCCAGACUCCUACGGGAGGCAGCAGUAGGGAAUCUUCGGCAAUGGGGGCAACCCUGACCGAGCAACGCCGCGUGAGUGAAGAAGGUUUUCGGAUCGUAAAGCUCUGUUGUAAGAGAAGAACGUGUGUGAGAGUGGAAAGUUCACACAGUGACGGUAACUUACCAGAAAGGGACGGCUAACUACGUGCCAGCAGCCGCGGUAAUACGUAGGUCCCGAGCGUUGUCCGGAUUUAUUGGGCGUAAAGCGAGCGCAGGCGGUUUAAUAAGUCUGAAGUUAAAGGCAGUGGCUUAACCAUUGUUCGCUUUGGAAACUGUUAGACUUGAGUGCAGAAGGGGAGAGUGGAAUUCCAUGUGUAGCGGUGAAAUGCGUAGAUAUAUGGAGGAACACCGGUGGCGAAAGCGGCUCUCUGGUCUGUAACUGACGCUGAGGCUCGAAAGCGUGGGGAGCAAACAGGAUUAGAUACCCU
rnacentral:rRNA from 1 species